rnacentral:rRNA from 1 species
GGCUCAGAUGAACGCUGGCGGCAGGCCUAACACAUGCAAGUCGAACGGUAACAGGAAGCAGCUUGCUGCUUGCUGACGAGUGGCGGACGGGUGAGUAAUGUCUGGGAAACUGCCUGAUGGAGGGGGAUAACUACUGGAAACGGUAGCUAAUACCGCAUAACGUCGCAAGACCAAGGAGGGGGACCUUCGGGCCUCUUGCCAUCAGAUGUGCCCAGAUGGGAUUAGCUUGUUGGUGGGGUAACGGCUCACCAAGGCGACGAUCCCUAGCUGGUCUGAGAGGAUGACCAGCCACACUGGAACUGAGACACGGUCCAGACUCCUACGGGAGGCAGCAGUGGGGAAUAUUGCACAAUGGGCGCAAGCCUGAUGCAGCCAUGCCGCCGUGUAUGAAGAAGGCCUUCGGGUUGUAAAGUACUUUCAGCGGGGAGGAAGGUGUUGUGGUUAAUAACCACAGCAAUUGACGUUACCCGCAGAAGAAGCACCGGCUAACUCCGUGCCAGCCGCCGC